UUGGAGGGYMRAGUCUGYUGCCAGCAGCCGCGGUAAUUCCAGCUCCAAUAGCGUAUAUUAAAGUUGUUGCAGUUAAAAAGCUCGUAGUUGAAUUUCGAGAUCAGUACGCUGGUCGUGCCUUCGGUAUGCACUGGUGUCACUGGUUUCUCCCUUCUGAAGAACCGUAAUGCCAUUCAGUUGGUGUGGCGGGGAAUCAGGAUUGUUACUUUGAAAAAAUUAGAGUGUUUAAAGCAGGCUCGCGCUUGAAUACAUUAGCAUGGAAUAAUGAAAUAGGACGUUUGAUCCUAUUUUGUUGGUUUCUAGGAUCGACGUAAUGAUUAAUAGGGAUAGUUGGGGGCAUUAGUAUUCAAUUGUCAGAGGUGAAAUUCUUGGAUUUAUUGAAGACUAACUACUGCGAAAGCAUUUGCCAAGGAUGUUUUCAUUAAUCAAGAACGAAAGUUAGGGGAUCGAAGACGAUCAGAUACCGUCGUARUCUUAACCAUAAACUAUGCCGACUAGGGAUCGGAUGAUGUUAAUUUUUUAAUGACUCAUUCGGCGCCUUACGGGAAA
rnacentral:rRNA from 1 species